CUCCUGUUCGCCUGGCAGUGAGUGGCUGAGGUACGCAAGGCGAGGAAUUGUGCCCUUGUGAUCUUGUUUCCCGGUAAGAGCAUGAGGUGCUGCGUUACCACGGUGACUCACCACCACCAUCACCAAAAGCAACAACAACAACGACAACAACAUCACCACUCCCACCACCAUCACCCCCGCCACCACUGCCACCGCCCCCACCCCUACCACUCUAACGAUGACGACCAGACGACCAGAAAACCGGAAAACUCAGAUGAAGAAGACACGCACCACUUCAGGAAAGAGCGGCAGCGAGUGCGAGGCAUGAAUGAACGCACUGGUGAAUGUAUGAACGGGACGCGACCUGGAAGACCUUGGCGCGCGGCUGCUGGCCCGUGAGGUAACCAGGUCAAGGGCGGGGAAAACACACACACACACACACACACACUCUCUCUCUCUCUCUCUCUCUCUCUCUCUCUCUCUCUCUCUCUCUCUCUCUCAGUCGUAAGUAAUGAGCGGCUGUCGUAUGUCCGGCCGACGUUCAAUCCUAGCCAGCAUAUAAAUACUCCCCAGCUACUGUUUCCUCUUGCCCGUGUCACCCCUGCAAGAUAGCGCACGGAUCCUGAUAAUGAGACGCGCCUGUCAUGCUUCUCGUGUGGCGGCGGAGAGUAUCUGACCAGUAAACACACGCUCGAGCUGUACGACUGCCGGAAUGAGAGCGGGUGGUGGCAGGAGAUGGGUCUGUCGAGAGAGGGUUACCACUACUGUGCUUUUGUGAUGAGGAUUUGAAGGUGAGACGAGGACGUGAAGGGAAACUGUGUCACGAGAAGAGUGUGAGGACGUGAGGGUAAACAAGUGGAUAAAAGAUGUUUUCAUUGUAAUGGGAGUGUGUAAAAGAAAGCGAGAGAAAAUGAUAUGUGCUCAUUUGAUUGGGGGCAGAUAACUUUAGGAAAUUAAAAGGAUUGUGAAGGAAAACAGCCAAAUUAAGAUGUUUUCAUUGUAAUGGGUAUAUAUAUAAGCGUAGGAAAUCUGAAGCAUUGUGAAGGGAAACAAGGCAAAAAUAAAAUGUGUUCACUUGAGUGGGGGCAGAUAAGUGUGGGAAAUUAAGAUUGUACAUGAAAACAAGGCAAAGUAAGAUGUGUUCUUUGGAGUGGGGCAAGAUAAGGUUACGAACGACUGUAAAAUAAAACCAGAAAAGAAAAAAAAAAGAGCGUGUAAUCUAUUUUUCUUGCAGUAAGCCAGAUUAUGAUUACGUCUGAGUUGAUUAACCUUUUCGCUGCUUAUGAUGCACGGUUCUUUUCUCACAAACCAUUCUGACACAUUUCUUGCCAUUCAAGCGGCACCUCUGAACACCAUGCUGGCUAUAUAUUGAAAAAUCUGCUCAUCCCACCCAUUUUCUUUGCUGCAGGUUCUUGUAAAUAUUUUGUGCAGUGCUUUUAGCGUUGUGAAGUGUCGCAUAUUGCAGUGAAAGGGUAAAGGACACGGAGGCAAACUGAAUAAACUAAGAGGAUGCAUUCAUUAUGGAAGCAAAAGAGAGGCAGGACAGUGAAGAGACGGUGAGCGAAAGCAGGGAAGAAUGAAUUUAUCUGAAACUUAUUUAUACGAGGAUGGAAUUCAACACUUCUUUUUUCGACUUUGACGUGUAAAGUAUGUUGUUAGAGCACUAAACUAGAUGCCCAGGCAAAAAUAAAUAAAUAAAUAAGUGAAGUAUAUAAGCAAAUAAAUAAAUAACAAUAAUAAGAUAACUUAACGCAUACAUAAACAAAUAACCACGCUGCAGCAAGUCGAGUUGCACACUAAACACAAACUGAUCAAAAUCUACUAAAAUCAAAACAAACAAGAGUAAAUCAAGCCCCCACCAACAACACUUAAUUAAAACACAAUACCGCUGACCUCUCUCUCGGAAAAAAAAAAAAAAACAAGUAAUCAAAUAAGUAAGCGAAACCAGUGGCACUGAACUCUAAAGCUACGUAAAGUUUGUAAAUAUAAACUUGACUCAACUCUCCACGAAUCAAAUGGAGCUCAACUGAAACACGCUCCGUCACGCCCAUCGCACCUUAACUCGAACAAAAUAUUAAAAUAAGCCACGUCCAAGUUAGUGCAGAAUAUUUUAAUAAAUGUUGAGGUGAGCCUGGCCAUUUGAUCAGGUGAAAUUAAGCCGACAAUAUACUGCCCUAUAAAUUUUCAAGAGUAUAGGCUGCAGUGGUAUCAGA